rnacentral:rRNA from 1 species
UACAGAGGUCCCAAGCGUUGUUCGGAUUUACUGGGCGUAAAGGGCGCGUAGGCGGCAAUUCAAGUCAUCUGUGAAAUCUCCGGGCUUAACUCGGAACGGUCAGAUGAUACUGCUUUGCUAGAGUGCGGAAGGGGCAAUCGGAAUUCUUGGUGUAGCGGUGAAAUGCGUAGAUAUCAAGAGGAACACCUGAGGUGAAGACGGGUUGCUGGGCCGACACUGACGCUGAUAGCGCGAAAGCCAGGGGAGCAAACGGG